AUGGGAUGCCUUCACUUGUACAAACUACAAAGGAGCGUGGUAGAUAGCUCGUCUUGGAUUGUAUUAGUUGAACUACUCUUCGAUGUUCUGUUCACAACACAACAACACUUUGUGUCCAAACCGCCCAAAAGACGCAAAUACUUCACGGAAACAGUUAGAAAAGUAGGAGAAAGUUGGUCACCGGUAUUAAGCCACCUUUUGUCAUUUUUUCUACUCCCUCAAUCCCUUAUUUAUAUCCUCCAUUUAAUCUCCAGAGACUUCACAAAUCAAACAAACAAAUACAAAUACAACAAAACAAAACUCAAAAAGGAUUCUAAACACAUCCCAAGAAAGCAUGAAAAUGGGAAUGGGUUUAGUGGUGCUUACAGUUUUUAUGGCUGUGAUGUCUUCUACAAGAGUCCUUGCUCAGUCGACUUGCACAUCCGCUUUGAUCAGCAUGUCUCCGUGUCUCAACUACAUAACAGGAAACACAACCUCUCCGUCUCAGCAAUGCUGCAGUCAGCUGGGUAACGUUGUCAGGUCUUCUCCUGAUUGUUUGUGUCAAGUCCUCAACGGUGGUGGCUCUCAGCUCGGGAUCAACGUUAACCAAACACAGGCUCUUGCUUUGCCUAGAGCUUGUAAUGUUCAGACUCCUCCUGUCAGUCGCUGUAACAACGGUGGUGGUUCUACUGCUGACUCUCCUGCAGAUUCACCAAACUCUUCAGGACCAGGAAAUGGAUCGAAAACUGUACCAGUAGGAGAAGGAGAAGGGGAAGGACCAUCGUCAGACGGAAGCUCUAUUAAGUUCUCAUAUCCUCUUCUUGCCUUCCUUUCCGCUGCUUCCUACAUGGCAAUUUUCUUGAAAUACUGAGUUUCCCCAUCCACGGUUCUCCUGAAUCUUUUAUACUACUCAGAUUGCAUUCUUUAUUUUUCCCUACUUGUUCACAUUUCCUUGUGACUUCGUGUGAUGUAUUUAUUCUGUGCUCCGUGAGUCCCUACUCUCCGGGUGAUAUUGGAUCUCUUUACCUUUUUAUAAUAAACACUACUUUUCAGAACA